rnacentral:rRNA from 1 species
CAGUAGCCACGGUAAUACGUAGGUGGCAAGCGUUGUCCGGAAUUAUUGGGCGUAAAGGGCUCGCAGGCGGUUUCUUAAGUCUGAUGUGAAAGCCCCCGGCUCAACCGGGGAGGGUCAUUGGAAACUGGGAAACUUGAGUGCAGAAGAGGAGAGCGGAAUUCCACGUGUAGCGGUGAAAUGCGUAGAGAUGUGGAGGAACACCAGUGGCGAAGGCGACUCUCUGGUCUGUAACUGACGCUGAGGAGCGAAAGCGUGGGGAGCGAACAGGAUUAGAUACCCCAGUAGUCCAUGUCUCUUAUAC